AUUGAACGCUGGCGGCAGGCCUAACACAUGCAAGUCGAACGGUAACAGGAAGCAGCUUGCUGCUUUGCUGACGAGUGGCGGACGGGUGAGUAAUGUCUGGGAAACUGCCUGAUGGAGGGGGAUAACUACUGGAAACGGUAGCUAAUACCGCAUAACGUCGCAAGACCAAAGAGGGGGACCUUCGGGCCUCUUGCCAUCGGAUGUGCCCAGAUGGGAUUAGCUAGUAGGUGGGGUAACGGCUCACCUAGGCGACGAUCCCUAGCUGGUCUGAGAGGAUGACCAGCCACACUGGAACUGAGACACGGUCCAGACUCCUACGGGAGGCAGCAGUGGGGAAUAUUGCACAAUGGGCGCAAGCCUGAUGCAGCCAUGCCGCGUGUAUGAAGAAGGCCUUCGGGUUGUAAAGUACUUUCAGCGGGGAGGAAGGGAGCAAAGUUAAUACCUUUGCUCAUUGACGUUACCCGCAGAAGAAGCACCGGCUAACUCCGUG
rnacentral:rRNA from 1 species